UUGAAAACAAAGCCAGAAGAGGUCCAUCUUCUGACCUUGAAAGUACUCCUUCCUAAGGACCCAGAAGGCCAGGUUUGAGCUCUGACCUGCACCUUGAGAGGCCUCAGGAGCAUGCCAGUGGGCUCUUCAGCUCACACGUUCCAGUUCCAACCACAGCCUCCCCUUGGCCGCCCUUAUGGCUAAAGGGGCAGGCAGGACAGGAUGUUCUCCGAGUUCCAGCAGCAGGACCAUCCCUCAGAACGCGCAGCAGAGCCAUGAUUAGGGCUGAAGCCUGGUUGUGGGGCAAAGGCCUUGCCUCACCUUUCACCACCGUCUCGCUUGAGAUGUCGCAAGGGAGGAAGAGGAAGCACCAGGAGGGGAAAAGACACAAGGCAGAAUUCAGACCAGUGUUUUUCAAAGUGUGGACUAUGGAUCUCUCUUGCAUCUGAAUCACGUGCCUAUUAAAAAUGCAGAUUCCUGGGCCAGCCCUGAUGGCCUAGCAGUUAAAAGUUUGGUGCACUCCACCUCAGCAGCCCAGGUUCAGUUCCUGGUCACGGAACCAUACCACUCAUCUGUCAGUAGCCAUGCUGUGGUGGUGGCUCACAUUGAAGAAUUAGGACUUACAACUAGAAUACACAACUACGUACUGGGGCUUUGGGGAGGAAAAAAAAAGGGAGGAAGAUUGGCAACAGACCUUAGCUCAGGAUGGAACUUUCCCAGCAAAAAAAUAAAAACAAAUAAAAAUGCAAAUUCCUGGAGUCUGCUUCAGUCUUGAGUCUGAAACUUCCCACGUGAUUCUUACAAACACCCAGGUCUGAAAAUCUCAGGGAGAAGCAGAAAGUCUUCAGGGAUUUUAAAGACACUGAUAAAGGAAGUACACAGACAACUCAAAACACCAUUUCAGCCAAUCAUUUCUAAACCCAUCCCAGAAAAUCUUUCACUUUAGCAUUUAGCCUAGGUAAAGCUUGACCAUUCCCCUGGUUACACUUCAUCCAUCUACAGGUGGUGAUGCAAAUAGAAAAACAUCUGGCCCUUUUGGGCCAGAAGGUCAGAGAAGGAGGAGCAUGUUUGUGUAUAAACCAACCUCUAGAUCACCAAAGGCUGAUGUCUUGGUUCUAACUCCCUGGGCUCAGGUGUUGCAAAUGCUGACUUAGGGCCCCCUUAUCUACUGAUAACAAAGGUGAACAGAAGUGAUCUCCAGAAAUGGUUCACACACAGCUCCCAGGUUCUUGAAAAACCACAAGUG
rnacentral:lncRNA from 1 species